rnacentral:rRNA from 1 species
GACGAACGCUGGCGGCGUGCCUAACACAUGCAAGUCGAGCGGGGUUGAAGCGAGGGGUAACUCGAGUUUCUACCUAGCGGCGGACGGGUGAGUAACGCGUGGGCAACCUGCCUCAAGGACUGGGAUAACAGCUCGAAAGGGCUGCUAAUACCGGAUAAGCCUAUGGCCUCGCAUGGGGCCAUGAGCAAAGGGGAAACCCGCCUUGAGAUGGGCCCGCGUCCCAUCAACUAGUUGGUGAGGUGAAGGCUCACCAAGGCGACGACGGGUAGCCGGCCUGAGAGGGUGACCGGCCACACUGGGACUGAGACACGGCCCAGACUCCUACGGGGGCAGCAGUGGGGAAUCUUGCACAAUGGGCGAAAGCCUGAUGCAGCGACGCCGCGUGAGCGAAGAAGGCCUUCGGGUUGUAAGCUCUGUCUGGAGGGACGAAGGAAGUGACGGUACCUCCGGAGGAAGCACGGCUAACUACGUGCCAGCAGCCGCGGUAACUAGUCUACG